AGCGCAAUGAUUGGCUCACGGUCCGACACUCGUUCAGAGUCGGGCUGUGCUCCCGUCACCGUAGGCUCACUCGGUAGUGCUACCUGAGGCCUCUUGGGAGGCCGCGAUGGUUCGGCUCCUUGCGCCGGCCUCUUCCGCACCGCGUGUUGCCGAACGUCAGCUUCCGUCAGCCUCACCCUCGACGGCAUGCCUGCAAUUUCAACAAAGGAUCAGCACCAGUACAAAAAAAAAAAAAGAGAAGAAGAGACGACAGGCCGAGGUGUACCUAGACGAAGAACCGAGCUCAGACCGACGUCGUACAGAGCUUGCUCGGUGAUGAGCUGUUAGAUGUGUGCCCUAGAUGCC
rnacentral:lncRNA from 1 species